AGUGAACGCUGGCGGUAGGCCUAACACAUGCAAGUCGAACGGCAGCACAGUAAGAGCUUGCUCUUACGGGUGGCGAGUGGCGGACGGGUGAGGAAUACAUCGGAAUCUACUUUUUCGUGGGGGAUCACGUAGGGAAACUUACGCUAAUACCGCAUACGACCUACGGGUGAAAGCAGGGGAUCUUCGGACCUUGCGCGAUUGAAUGAGCCGAUGUCGGAUUAGGUAGUUGGCGGGGUAAAGGCCCACCAAGGCGACGAUCCGUAGCUGGUCUGAGAGGAUGAGCAGCCACACUGGAACUGUGACACGGUCCAGACGCCUACGGGAGGCAGCAGUGGGGAAUAUUGGACAAUGGGCGCAAGCCUGAUCCAGCCAUACCGCGUGGGUGAAGAAGGACUUCGGGUUGUAAAGGCCUUUUGUUGGGAAAGAAAAGCAGCAGGUUAAUAACCCGCUGUUCUGACGGUACCCAAAGAAUAAGCACCGGGUAACUUCGUG
rnacentral:rRNA from 1 species